rnacentral:rRNA from 1 species
UCAGGCCUAACACAUGCAAGUCGAACGGUAACAGGUCUUCGGAUGCUGACGAGUGGCGAACGGGUGAGUAAUACAUCGGAACGUGCCCGAGAGUGGGGGAUAACGAAGCGAAAGCUUUGCUAAUACCGCAUACGAUCUCAGGAUGAAAGCAGGGGACCGCAAGGCCUUGCGCUCACGGAGCGGCCGAUGGCAGAUUAGGUAGUUGGUGGGAUAAAAGCUUACCAAGCCGACGAUCUGUAGCUGGUCUGAGAGGACGACCAGCCACACUGGGACUGAGACACGGCCCAGACUCCUACGGGAGGCAGCAGUGGGGAAUUUUGGACAAUGGGCGCAAGCCUGAUUCAGCCAUGCCGCGUGCAGGAUGAAGGCCCUCGGGUUGUAAACUGCUUUUGUACGGAACGAAAAGACUCUGGUUAAUAC